CGGAGGGGACGAGUGUUACUCAUAAUAACUGGGGCGUAAAGGGUACGUAGAUGGUUUAUUAAGUUAAUUAUAAAAAUUAAAUUAAAAGUUUAUAAAAUAAUUAAUACAUUAAAACUAGAGUAUAAAAGAGGAAUAUGGAAUUUUUAGUGAAAGGGUGAAAUUUUACGAUAAUAAAAAGAACGAUCAAAAGACGAAGGCAAUAUUCUGGGUUAUUACUGACAUUGAGGUACUGAAGCAUGGGGAGCAAAUCGGAUU
rnacentral:rRNA from 1 species